rnacentral:rRNA from 1 species
CCGGUACGAGGACAGUGUCAGGUGGGCAGUUUGACUGGGGCGGUCGCCUCCUAAAGAGUAACGGAGGCGCCCCAAGGUUCCCUCAGAAUGGUUGGAAAUCAUUCGAAGAGUGCAAAGGCAGAAGGGAGCUUGACUGCGAGACCUACAAGUCGAGCAGGGACGAAAGUCGGGCUUAGUGAUCCGGUGGUACCGCAUGGAAGGGCCAUCGCUCAACGGAUAAAAGCUACCCUGGGGAUAACAGGCUUAUCUCCCCCAAGAGUCCACAUCGACGGGGAGGUUUGGCACCUCGAUGUCGGCUCAUCGCAUCCUGGGGCUGAAGUAGGUCCCAAGGGUUGGGCUGUUCGCCCAUUAAAGCGGUACGCGAGCUGGGUUCAGAACGUCGUGAGACAGUUCGGUCCCUAUCUGUCGUGGGCGUAGGAAAUUUGAGAGGAGCUGUCCUUAGUACGAGAGGACCGGGAUGGACGUACCGCUGGUGUACCAGUUGUUCCGCCAGGAGCACCGCUGGGUAGCUAUGUACGGAAGGGAUAAGCGCUGAAAGCAUCUAAGCGUGAAGCCCCCCUCAAGAUGAGAUUUCCCAGUAUGUAAGACCCCUUGAAGACGACGAGGUAGAUAGGUUGGGGGUGGAAGUGCAGUAAUGCAUGGAGCUGACCAAUACUAAUCGGUCGAGGGCUUAUCCUAA